rnacentral:rRNA from 1 species
AACGAACGCUGGCGGCAUGCCUAACACAUGCAAGUCGAACGAGACCUUCGGGUCUAGUGGCGCACGGGUGCGUAACGCGUGGGAACCUGCCCUUAGGUUCGGAAUAACUCCCCGAAAGGGGUGCUAAUACCGGAUAAUGUCUUCGGACCAAAGAUUUAUCGCCUUUGGAUGGGCCCGCGUUGGAUUAGCUAGUUGGUAGGGUAAAAGCCUACCAAGGCGACGAUCCAUAGCUGGUCUGAGAGGAUGAUCAGCCACACUGGGACUGAGACACGGCCCAGACUCCUACGGGAGGCAGCAGUGGGGAAUAUUGGACGAUGGGCGAAAGCCUGACCCAGCAAUGCCGCGUGAGUGAUGAAGGCCUUAGGGUUGUAAAGCUCUUUUACCCGGGAUGAUAAUGACAGUACCGGGAGAAUAAGCUCCGGCUAACUCCGUG